rnacentral:rRNA from 1 species
UACGUAGGGGGCAAGCGUUGUCCGGAAUCAUUGGGCGUAAAGCGCGUGUAGGCGGCUAGGUAAGUCUGCUCUGAAAGCCCGGGGCUCAACCCCGGGAGGCGGGUGGAUACUGUCUAGCUCGAGUCCGGAAGAGGAGAAUGGAAUUCCCGGUGUAGCGGUGAAAUGCGCAGAUAUCGGGAAGAACACCCGUGGCGAAGGCGGUUCUCUGGGACGGUACUGACGCUGAGACGCGAAAGCGUGGGGAGCGAACAGG